rnacentral:rRNA from 1 species
GACGAACGCUGGCGGCAUGCCUAAUACAUGCAAGUCGAGCGAACAGAUGAAGUGCUUGCACUUCUGACGUUAGCGGCGAACGGGUGAGUAACACGUAAGGAAUCUACCUAUAAGCGGGGGAUAACAUUCGGAAACGGGUGCUAAUACCGCAUAAUAUCUUCUUCCGCAUGGAAGAAGAUUGAAAGACGGCUCUGCUGUCACUUAUAGAUGACCUUGCGGUGCAUUAGUUAGUUGGUGGGGUAACGGCCUACCAAGACGAUGAUGCAUAGCCGACCUGGGAGGGUGAUCGGCCACAUUGGGACUGAGACACGUCCCAAACUCCUACGGGAGGCAGCAGUAGGGAAUCUUCCGCGAUGGGCGAAAGCCUGACGGAGCAAUGCCGCGUGAGUGAAGAAGGCCUUCGGGUCGUAAAACUCUGUUAUAAGAGAAGAACAAAUUGUAGAGUAACUGCUACAGUCUUGACGGUAUCUUAUCAGAAAGCCACGGCUAACUUCGUGCCAGCCGCCGCAGUAA